rnacentral:rRNA from 1 species
CGAACUGGCGACCGGCGCACGGGUGAGUAACACGUAUCCAACCUGCCCGAUACCGGGGUAUAGCCCAUGGAAACGUGGAUUAACACCCCAUAGUACUUUUAUCCUGCAUGGGAUGUGAGUUAAAUGUUCAAGGUAUCGGAUGGGCAUGCGUCCUAUUAGUUAGUUGGCGGGGUAACAGCCCACCAAGACGAUGAUAGGUAGGGGUUCUGAGAGGAAGGUCCCCCACAUUGGAACUGAGACACGGUCCAA